rnacentral:rRNA from 1 species
CCUACGGGAGGCAGCAGUGAGGAAUAUUGGUCAAUGGGCGCGAGCCUGAACCAGCCAAGUCGCGUGAGGGAAGACGGUCCUAUGGAUUGUAAACCUCUUUUGUCGGGGAGCAAAAGACGCCACGCGUGGCGUUCCGCGAGUACCCGAAGAAAAAGCAUCGGCUAACUCCGUGCCAGCAGCCGCGGUAAUACGGAGGAUGCGAGCGUUAUCCGGAUUUAUUGGGUUUAAGGGGUGCGCAGGCGGAAGAUAAAGCUAGCGUGAAAAUUGAGAGGCUCAACCUCUUCGAGCCGUUGAAACUGGUAUUCUUGAGUGAGUGAGAGGGAGGCGGAAUGCGUGGUGUAGCGGUGAAAUGCAUAGAGAUCACGAAGAACUCCGAUUGCGAAGGCAGCAUACCGGCGCUCAACUGACGCUCAUGCACGAAAGUGUGGGUAUCGAACAGGAUUAGAUACCCUUGUAGUC